rnacentral:rRNA from 1 species
AGACCCGAAACCCGGUGAUCUAGCCAUGGGCAGGUUGAAGGUUGGGUAACACUAACUGGAGGACCGAACCGACUAAUGUUGAAAAAUUAGCGGAUGACCUGUGGCUGGGGGUGAAAGGCCAAUCAAACCGGGAGAUAGCUGGUUCUCCCCGAAAGCUAUUUAGGUAGCGCCUCGUGAAUUCAUCUCCGGGGGUAGAGCACUGUUUCGGCUAGGGGGCCAUCCCGGCUUACCAACCCGAUGCAAACUGCGAAUACCGGAGAAUGUUAUCACGGGAGACACACGGCGGGUGCUAACGUCCGUCGUGAAGAGGGAAACAACCCAGACCGCCAGCUAAGGUCCCAAAGUCAUGGUUAAGUGGGAAACGAUGUGGGAAGGCCCAGACAGCCAGGAUGUUGGCUUAGAAGCAGCCAUCAUUUAAAGAAAGCGUAAUAGCUCACUGGUCGAGUCGGCCUGCGCGGAAGAUGUAACGGGGCUAAACCAUGCACCGAAGCUGCGGCAGCGACACUCAGGUGUCGUUGGGUAGGGGAGCGUUCUGUAAGCCUGCGAAGGUGGCCUGUGAGGGUUGCUGGAGGUAUCAGAAGUGCGAAUGCUGACAUAAGUAACGAUAAAGCGGGUGAAAAGCCCGCUCGCCGGAAGACCAAGGGUUCCUGUCCAACGUUAAUCGGGGCAGGGUGAGUCGACCCCUAAGGCGAGGCCGAAAGGCGUAGUCGAUGGGAAACGGGUUAAUAUUCCCGUACUUGGUGUUACUGCGAAGGGGGGACGGAGAAGGCUAUGUUGGCCGGGCGACGGUUGUCCCGGUUUAAGCGUGUAGGUGUGUGUUCCAGGUAAAUCCGGUUCACUUUAACACUGAGGCGUGACGACGAGGCACUACGGUGCUGAAGCAACAAAUGCCCUGCUUCCAGGAAAAGCCUCUAAGCAUCAGGUAACAUCAAAUCGUACCCCAAACCGACACAGGUGGUCAGGUAGAGAAUACCAAGGCGCUUGAGAGAACUCGGGUGAAGGAACUAGGCAAAAUGGUGCCGUAACUUCGGGAGAAGGCACGCUGACACGUAGGUGAAGUGAUUUACUCAUGGAGCUGAAGUCAGUCGAAGAUACCAGCUGGCUGCAACUGUUUAUUAAAAACACAGCACUGUGCAAACACGAAAGUGGACGUAUACGGUGUGACGCCUGCCCGGUGCCGGAAGGUUAAUUGAUGGGGUCAGCGCAAGCGAAGCUCCUGAUCGAAGCCCCGGUAAACGGCGGCCGUAACUAUAACGGUCCUAAGGUAGCGAAAUUCCUUGUCGGGUAAGUUCCGACCUGCACGAAUGGCGUAAUGAUGGCCAGGCUGUCUCCACCCGAGACUCAGUGAAAUUGAACUCGCUGUGAAGAUGCAGUGUACCCGCGGCAAGACGGAAAGACCCCGUGAACCUUUACUAUAGCUUGACACUGAACAUUGAGCCUUGAUGUGUAGGAUAGGUGGGAGGCUUUGAAGUGUGGACGCCAGUCUGCAUGGAGCCGGCCUUGAAAUACCACCCUUUAAUGUUUGAUGUUCUAACGUGGACCCGUGAUCCGGGUUGCGGACAGUGUCUGGUGGGUAGUUUGACUGGGGCGGUCUCCUCCUAAAGAGUAACGGAGGAGCACGAAGGUUGGCUAAUCCUGGUCGGACAUCAGGAGGUUAGUGCAAUGGCAUAAGCCAGCUUGACUGCGAGCGUGACGGCGCGAGCAGGUGCGAAAGCAGGUCAUAGUGAUCCGGUGGUUCUGAAUGGAAGGGCCAUCGCUCAACGGAUAAAAGGUACUCCGGGGAUAACAGGCUGAUACCGCCCAAGAGUUCAUAUCGACGGCGGUGUUUGGCACCUCGAUGUCGGCUCAUCACAUCCUGGGGCUGAAGUAGGUCCCAAGGGUAUGGCUGUUCGCCAUUUAAAGUGGUACGCGAGCUGGGUUUAGAACGUCGUGAGACAGUUCGGUCCCUAUCUGCCGUGGGCGCUGGAGAACUGAGGGGGGCUGCUCCUAGUACGAGAGGACCGGAGUGGACGCAUCACUGGUGUUCGGGUUGUCAUGCCAAUGGCACUGCCCGGUAGCUAAAUGCGGAAGAGAUAAGUGCUGAAAGCAUCUAAGCACGAAACUUGCCCCGAGAUGAGUUCUCCCUGAGACUUAGAGUCUCC